UGGGGGAUAUUGCACAAUGGGCGAAAGCCUGAUGCAGCGACGCCGCGUGGGGGAUGAAGGCUUUCGGGUUGUAAACCUCCUUCGCUAUCGAACAAGGCCCGCUUAGGGUGGGUUGAGGGUAGGUGGAGAAGAAGCGCCGGCUAACUACGUGCCAGCAGCCGCGGUAAUACGUAGGGCGCGAGCGUUGUCCGGAAUUAUUGGGCGUAAAGGGCUUGUAGGCGGCUUGUUGCGCCUGCUGUGAAAACGCGGGGCUUAACUUCGCGCGUGCAGUGGGUACGGGCAGGCUUGAGUGUGGUAGGGGUGACUGGAAUUCCAGGUGUAGCGGUGGAAUGCGCAGAUAUCUGGAGGAACACCGAUGGCGAAGGCAGGUCACUGGGCCAUUACUGACGCUGAGGAGCGAAAGCAUGGGUAGCGAACAGG
rnacentral:rRNA from 1 species